rnacentral:tRNA from 1 species
UGAGCGCUCGUCUAACGGCGAAGACGCGAGGCUCUGACCCUCGAGAUCGUGGUUCGAAUCCAUGGCGCUUGACCA